rnacentral:rRNA from 1 species
AUUGAGCGCUGGCGGCAUGCCUUACACAUGCAAGUCGAACGGUAACAGGUCUUCGGAUGCUGACGAGUGGCGAACGGGUGAGUAAUACAUCGGAACGUGCCUAGUAGUGGGGGAUAACUACUCGAAAGAGUGGCUAAUACCGCAUGAGAUCUACGGAUGAAAGCAGGGGAUCGCAAGACCUUGUGCUACUAGAGCGGCCGAUGGCAGAUUAGGUAGUUGGUGGGAUAAAAGCUUACCAAGCCGACGAUCUGUAGCUGGUCUGAGAGGACGAUCAGCCACACUGGGACUGAGACACGGCCCAGACUCCUACGGGAGGCAGCAGUGGGGAAUUUUGGACAAUGGGCGCAAGCCUGAUCCAGCAAUGCCGCGUGCAGUAUGAAGGCCUUCGGGUUGUAAACUGCUUUUGUACGGAACGAAAAGCCCCGGGUUAAUACCCUGGGGUCAUGACGGUACCGUAAGAAUAAGCACCGGCUAACUACGUGCCAGCCGCCGCAGUAA